rnacentral:lncRNA from 11 species
CUCUGAAGAGCAGGCCAGGCCCAUCUUCUGGCCUUGGCUUCCCUGCCUCCCUUUGUGUGCCUGGCCUGGACUUCUGGACCCUGACCAACUGGACAUGGCUUCGGAAUUGUCGUCUCCUCAUGAUCGGGAAGGAGAGACUUCUGUGGGGUCCUGAGGAUCCAAAAUGGGCCCACCCAUGGUCACCUGACCUAUCCCGGAAGUGAAUCCCGGCGACCUUUUUGGGCCGCCCUCUACUGGUGAAGCCGAUCGAUGACGCCCUUUGCUUUUCCAGAACGUUG